AUGAAGAGAUCAGUAGUACUGAUUCUAGUACUAAUAGCUGCAUCAGUUGCUCUUGGUGAUCGCAUUGAACCAAAUCAAGCUGUUAUUAUUCAAGAUGAAACCAACCGGGUGACAUUGAGUUGCUCAUAUGAAACAAGCAGUGAAGACAUUGAUCUUUACUGGUACAGACAGUAUCCUAACAGUGAGCCACAGUAUAUACUGUGGAAAGGUGCACGGUCAAGAGAUGGCAGGAAACAUAUACCAGAUCCUCAUUUUGAAUCUUCAACAACCAGAACAUCCACUGAACUGAUUAUUAAAGCAGCCACUCUGAAAGAUUCAGCUCUCUAUUACUGUGCUCUUUGGAAAGACCCAGUGAUACAAAGUUUCUGA